UCAUUGGAAUGGAUGUCGCUGCAUCUGAGUUCUACUCGUCAGACAAGACCUACGACUUGAACUUCAAAGAAGAGGUAAAUUAGCCUUUUUGCUUAAAAAAAUUCUAAACCGGCUGGAGAAAGAAGUCAAUAACAAUGAAUUUGGGUAUUUGCAGAACAACAAUGGUUCUGAGAAGAUUUCUGGAGAAGCUCUCAAGGACCUCUACAAAUCAUUUGUUGCUGAGUACCCAAUUGUAUCCAUUGAAGACCCAUUUGACCAAGACGACUGGGAGCACUAUGCUAAAAUGACCGGCGAGUGUGGCGAGAAAGUUCAGAUUGUCGGUGAUGAUCUGUUAGUCACCAACCCCAAGGUCUGCCAUUGUUAAACAAGUGUUAGCCUUUCAACUUUCUCUCUUUCUCUCUCAAAGCUGUUAUAUCUCUAACACUCUUUUGUAUGCAGAGGGUUGCCAAGGCGAUCAGUGAAAAGUCUUGCAAUGCUCUUCUUUUGAAGGUAAACAUCUUUACUGGUUAUGCGUCAUUUUGAAGUCCUUGAAAUAGUGUUAAAUAUAAAUCCCUGGUGAAUGUAUGAACAGGUUAACCAAAUCGGAUCUGUAACUGAGAGUAUUGAGGCGGUUAAGAUGUCAAAGAGAGCUGGUUGGGGAGUGAUGGCUAGCCACCGUAGUGGAGAAACCGAGGACACCUUCAUUGCCGAUUUAUCUGUCGGUUUGUCAACCGUAAGUCAAAACCCCUUAGCAGUUCAAACUUUCCCUGCAAGAAAUUUCUUGUCGUGUCUUGUCCAAAUCAAAUUAAAUCAUGAUAUUGAUGAGUCUCUGGGAAUUGUUGUUUAUAUCUUAACAGGGUCAAAUCAAGACCGGAGCUCCUUGCAGAUCAGAGCGUCUUGCCAAAUACAACCAGGUUCGGAAACAAGAUGUGUUUUGUGUUUGAUUGAUAGAAUUUCAAAGUAGAUAUCCGUUAGACUGAUGCUCGUAAUGUUGGUGAUAUAAUGAAUAGCUAUUGCGAAUUGAGGAGGAGCUUGGAGCAGAGGCAGUGUAUGCAGGAGCCAACUUCCGCACCCCAGUCGAGCCUUACUAGAGAGACUCUAACACAGAGCUGAGUUUGAUUAAUGUUUGAGGCUUUGAAGGUCAAAUAAAGGGAUUUUGUUUUCAUUUGUUUUCAGCUGAGUCGGUUCUUGUUUUUGGUAGAGAAAAGUGUGUUUGGUUUUAAACCUUUAAUGUGAUGCGAGCUGCUUGCUUUUAUUAUACUACUUCUUCUCCCUCUUUCUUUGUGCUCCAGUUUUAUCUUCUACGGAAUUCACAUAAGACACUAAUAGUUCACAUGUUUCCAAAUUAGCCGAUCCACAAUCUAAAGAAAGUCGAUAUCUUUGUCGAUUUUCAGCAACUUGGUAAACCUGUCAAUAGAAUUUUUUUUUUUUUUUGUUCAAAAUCUGUCAAUAGAAUAUUAUUUUGUUUUUGUCUGUCAAAAUAAGAAGAAUAUAUAUUAUGUUAUCACAUUUUAGUUUUGUUAUUUAUCGUAUCUUUCCAACUGGUUAUUAGCUGCAAUGGUUAAAAUAAUUAGGUUUGAGAAACUAUCGACAAGAUUUGAGUUUACUACUAAUUUUUUUUUUCAAUCACAGCAAAAGAAAAUUAAAGGAAGAUUCUUUUAAUUUUGUAAUGAUUUCAACCAUAAUUUCUAUUCAAUUUUGUUUAGUAGCUGCAUUAAGUAAAUAAUCAGUCAGAUUCAGAUCUCAGAAGGAUCCGUUUAAAAAAUUAAAAUUAAUUAAACAGGCGUUAUAAAAAUAGAAGGUGUUGAAAAAAAUUAAAGAUGAGAAAGGAAUAUGCGUCAACCUGAGUUGGUAGCUGCAAUUGUUAUCCCACCUGUCCUUGAGUUUAUGAUUUAUUACAUUACAGACACAAACUCUUGCCUUGGGGUCCAAAUCCCAAAUCCUAAACAUUCGACCCUUAGAGCAUCUUUAACGGGGUAUUUACAGGGUAUUUAGCAGAAACUUAUUAAUAAAAAAAUGCAGCAUCGUUUCUUAUUUGGCAGAAACAUCUUCUAUUUGGGGACGUUUUGUAUCGUUUCUUCCCACACGUGGGUUGUUUACAUUAGUUAAAAAGUGUGAAAGAUUUUUUUCACCAUCUCCUUCCUCUCUCUCUCCUUCUUCUUUUUCUUGCUCUCUCUCUCUUCUCGAACAGCAACACCACCAUCUUCCCUCCUCCUCCUUUCUUUCUUCCUCGACGAAGACGACGACUUUUCUUCCUCCUCCAACUUCUCCCCUCUCCUCAUCGCCCUAAUCGGACUCCUCGCCAGCGCUUUCAUCCUCGUCAGCUACUACACUCUCAUCUCAAAAUACUGCUAUCGCCGCUAAACCCGUGAUCGCGGCGGUGCGUUCUCCUCCUCCGCCGUCGAAUCCCGGCAAGGAAAUUGGAAUGCGGCGGCUAGCGGCGACGGCCUUAACGACACACUGAUCAAAUCGAUCACGGUUUACAAGUACAGAAAGGGUGAAGGAUUCGUCGAUGGUUCUGAUUGCUCUGUUUGUUUGAGUGAAUUCGAAGAGAACGAGAGCUUACGAUUGUUGCCCAAAUGCAAUCACGCGUUUCAUCUUCCUUGUAUCAAAUCUUCCUUGUAAAAAAUAUUUUUUAAAAAAUAAACUCAUAUCAAUCUCUCCAUCGCACAGCUUAAAACACCAGUCUCUAGAAUCAGUUUCUAUUCACACUUUUUACUCAAAAACUAAUUAAAUAAUGGUCUGAAGACCCUCGUAAAUCUCUCCCAUUGAGGUUGCUCUUACCUUUCACAAUUUUCUUUUCUACAACAUUCAACUUUUCCUUUACAUUCAAUUGUAAACAUAUAUACAAAUUGUCUUCUUUUUUUUGGAACGUUCUGGUAUAUGGUAAUUGUUACUAAUUAACACACACUUUGGGGUUACGGAGAGAAGAUGCUACAUCAUAAGCUUAAAUUUAUAAAGUUUCCACAUUCGUCUGUUCGAAUAAAUAUUCAGUUUCCUUGUUAGUUUAUUACUUGUUAUAGUGUCUAGCUGAUUCCCCAAGGUCGUAUUUUUACUUGGACAAGGGGCAAAGCGAAAAAAUAAACCUUUUGGUCGUCUGCAAAAGGCGUGCAACGCGACGUUUUAACGGUUUCUGAUUUGUUUAGAUCGGACGGCUAUAACCAGAUCCCAAUACUUCUGAUCCGACGGCUGUAAUCUAACAUGAACAUUUUUUUUUUUUCCUUUCCCGUUAUAUAUAUAUCAAGCUAAAGAGCAUAGGAAACAUCGUUCUAAUCCGGGAAAUUUCAGUGUGAAUCAAAGCUACGACGAGCGUUCUUCAGCAACAUCUUCGUCUCUCUUUCUCCAAGAUCUAAUCGACUAUGGCCACUAUCACACUUGUGAAAGCUAGACAGAUCUUCGACAGCCGUGGAAACCCCACCGUCGAGGUUUGUUUUCUUCUUCUUCGCUUCCGAUGAGUUUCACUGUUUGAGGUCGAAUUUUUAUUGUAAUCGAUUUUCUCGCUGAUUGGGUUCUGUUCUAUCUCCGAUGAUCUGUACGACGGAUCGGAAUUAGCCCGAUCUUUUAAAUUAGAAUCUCCCUACUUGGUUGCUCGAAUCACUGUCCGAUCGUCUUUUCACUGAUCGAUUUGAGAGCAGAACGAGGACUAAAUGAUUUUUCUGAUUUUAUCAUCGGGUUUUAGGUCGAUAUCCACACAUCCACCGGCGUGAAGGUCACAGCUGCCGUUCCAAGUGGAGCUUCCACUGGUAUGCCACUUUUGAGAAACUCGUCGUGUUUGUGUUUUAUUCUUUCUAGAUAGUUUUGUUUUUCCCACCAGAUAAUUUCUCUGUAGCUUAUGUUAUUCGUUUUUUUGGGUUAUAUGGAUAUGUGAAUGUGUGGUUAGAUUAAACCUUAACUAGUUGUAAACUUGCCAUAGGAGUCUAUGAGGCCCUUGAGCUGAGGGAUGGAGGAUCUGACUAUCUUGGCAAAGGUGUCUCAAAGGUGAGUUUGUGUGUUGUGGUUCUUGUUAUGAAAUGUUGUCCGAAUGAGACUUUUCUCGUUUAACAAAUGUUUUCUUAUUGAUGUUUAUAGGCUGUUGGAAAUGUUAACUCAAUCAUUGGCCCAGCAUUGAUUGGCAAGGUGACGCACUUGUUAAACCCUCUCUGCAUUACAUCAAACGUUUCUACAUGUUUUGGAUCACCUGCUUAAAAUUUUUGUUUUUUUUUUGUUUUGCUUGUUUCAGGACCCUACCCAGCAGACUGCUAUUGACAACUUCAUGGUUCACGAACUUGAUGGUACCCAAAAUGAGUGGGGCUGGUGCAAGCAAAAGGUGCUUUAGAAUACUUCUUGUUUGUGCAUUCUCUUGAGACUGGCGAUGAUGUUAAUAAGCUUGCUUCCUGUGUUUGUUUACAGCUUGGAGCCAAUGCUAUUCUUGCUGUCUCUCUUGCUGUUUGCAAAGCUGGCGCUGUUGUCAGUGGAAUUCCUCUCUACAAGGUUUUAUGAUCUUGUACUUAUAAGUUAUAACUCGUCUUUUCUAGUUCUUAGCACUUUAUCUAACUCCUUUGCUUUGCUACUUAUCUUGUUGCAGCACAUUGCGAAUCUUGCUGGUAACCCCAAGUUGGUGCUACCAGUUCCUGCCUUCAAUGUCAUCAACGGUGGAUCACAUGCAGGAAACAAGCUUGCAAUGCAGGUAUGAACUAGUUUGAUUCUAUUUCUUUUACGUAUAUAACGAAAAGACUCUCUAGUUCUUAAAAUUUCGGACAUGCAACUGGUGUUUGCAGGAGUUCAUGAUUCUCCCUGUUGGAGCUUCAUCUUUCAAGGAAGCCAUGAAAAUGGGUGUGGAAGUUUACCACAACUUGAAGGUAAAUCUCGACUCAUUUUGGUCUUUGAGGUCUUCAUAUUAUGAUUAAUAAUGAUUAAAGAACUAUUAAAUGUAUAAUAACGUGUAUUUCCUCAUUACUCCUGUAACUUACUGAUAAUAAAUUGAUUGAUUCUUCCGGUUUAACAUUUAUGCUCACGCAUUUUCUUUAUCUGACAAAUUCAUCCUUCUUGUUCUCAUGUGAAUUUCAGUCUGUGAUUAAGAAGAAGUACGGUCAGGAUGCAACAAACGUUGGUGAUGAAGGUGGCUUCGCACCAAAUAUUCAGGAGAACAAGGAAGGUCUUGAAUUGCUCAAGACUGCCAUCGAGAAGGCGGGAUACACUGGCAAGGUCUGUCUCUUACCCGUAAUUAGACUAGUGUACAUGUCGUUGUAAUCUAUCCAUAGGCAGAGAAACUAACGGGUUUCAGUCAUAAUCUUGUAGGUUGUCAUUGGAAUGGAUGUCGCUGCAUCUGAGUUCUACUCGUCAGACAAGACCUACGACUUGAACUUCAAAGAAGAGGUAAAUUAGCCUUUUUGCUUAAAAAAAUUCUAAACCGGCUGGAGAAAGAAGUCAAUAACAAUGAAUUUGGGUAUUUGCAGAACAACAAUGGUUCUGAGAAGAUUUCUGGAGAAGCUCUCAAGGACCUCUACAAAUCAUUUGUUGCUGAGUACCCAAUUGUAUCCAUUGAAGACCCAUUUGACCAAGACGACUGGGAGCACUAUGCUAAAAUGACCGGCGAGUGUGGCGAGAAAGUUCAGAUUGUCGGUGAUGAUCUGUUAGUCACCAACCCCAAG
rnacentral:lncRNA from 1 species